UACGUAGGGGGCAAGCGUUGUCCGGAUUUAUUGGGCGUAAAGAGCGUGUAGGCGGCUUUACAGGUCCGUUGUGAAAACUCGAGGCUCAACCUCGAGACGCCGGUGGAAACCGUAAGGCUAGAGUCCGGAAGAGGAGAGUGGAAUUCCUGGUGUAGCGGUGAAAUGCGCAGAUAUCAGGAGGAACACCAAUAGCGAAGGCAGCUCGCUGGGACGGUAUUGACGCUAAGGCGCGAAAGCGUGGGGAGCAAACAGG
rnacentral:rRNA from 1 species